AAACAGAUUUGCUGGGAAUAUUACAAGGGUGCAAUGAUCCCCUGGCCUGUUAGGACAUGAGGUAUCAACUAAUGUGCAAUUAAAAAAUAAAACCUGUGAGAAGGCAGUGUGGGAGAAUAAAAGCCUAUUAAUGCACUCCUAAGGAUUGAGGUUCUUGCCAGCAGAGCCAUCUGUCAAGAGAUUACAGAGAAGGAAAUUUCUGCAGGAAUCUUCCCCUGGGACGAGAUAAAGUGCCAAGAAAAGGUGUGUGGCAUCAGGAGUGAGGACAAACUCCGAGAGUCCUCUGCAGUGCUUAUCGCAGACAGAGAGGAAACCAUCCACCCACUGGCAGUCAGGGAAGAGGAAGAGAAGAGAGGGAAGUCUCUGGAUUGCUUUUGACCAGAGAAGUGAGGUCGUAUUGAAAAGAGUUUACAAAAACAAAUUCCUUAUAAGCAUUUUCCAUUUAUGUCUCAGAAUCCACUCUUCACCAUUCUGCAUCCUGCUCUCUGCUCUGGAGACUCCCUGGGAACUGUAUCCAUGGUCUCCUGCCUUCCAGACUGGGGUUGGAUUUGUCCAUUGUGAGAUGAAAAAAGUGAACUCAGAAUGGUUGGCCGAAUGCGGUGGCUCAUGCCUGUAAUCCUAGCACUUCGGGAGGCUGAGGUGGGCAGAUUGUGUGAGGUCAGGAUUUCAAGAUCAGCUUGAUCAACAUGGCGAAACCCCGUCUCUACUAAAAAUACAAAAAUUAGCCAGGUAUGGUGGUGCACACCUGUAGUCCCAGCUAUUCAGGAGGCUGAGGCACAAGAGAAUUGCUUAAACCCAGCAGGCAGAGGUUGCAGUGAGCUGAGAUUGCGCCACUGCACUCCUGCCUGGGUGACAGAUGGAGACACUAUCUCAAAGCAAACAAAAAAUCGUUAAGAGAUUUAUACAAUUAACAGUGACUGAGUGGCACUGUCAGGAUUUAUAUUUCAGCAUUUAAAAAAAUCACUCUGCCUCAUUUAGCAAUUGGAUAAUCACAAGUGAUCCAACUUUUAUUUCUCAGACUAGUUAGAAACAUCAGUCUGAAAUUAAUUUCUCUACCACUGAAUUCAUUGUUUUUUUAAACUUAUGCUCACAGCAAAGGAUGAGGAACAAGUUACCAUAGCAUUUAUUCCAUGCAUGUUGAGCUGUAGAAUCCUACAGAAUUUGUUAUCCAAUGUGUUAAAAAUCAUCUAGCUUUAUAACAAAAAACCAAGAGUUGACCACAUUUUCAAAAAAGCGUAAUAACUGUCUUGAAACAUGUCCUGAAUACAACUAUAAUAAGAUGUCUUAAUUAUAACUUACUUUUAAGAAUUAUUUGAACUUCAUUUUUAGGUUAAAUAAUAAAAAUUUGUUAAAGAUUUUAACAAUAUUGAAUUACAUAUAUUGUCUAACUCAAUAAUGUUGACCAAACUCUCAAUGAGAGAGUUUUAAAAAUCAUGUGGCAAACCCUUUAGCAGAAGUGUUUCUGUAUUAUAUUUGUUAACUAGAAAAAGAUGCUACUUUACUAUUAAUUUAGAGAACAAAUGCAAAAGAUAUAAAGUAAAUUUAGGCACAAUGCAAAAUGUUGAGGGGUUUUAAAUCUUAGGAGUAGUCUUGUGGGAAAUAAUUGUUUAGGUCUUGAAAAUUUAAACCUUCUACACAUUUUGCUAAAACAUGAUAUGUCCAAUAUCUCUACUCUUUCCUCAAACAUGAAUAGCUUCGUAAAAAGGUGUUCAUUCACUUAAGGACAUCCGUGAGUUUCCUUAAAUACGGAAAAGGCAAAAAACAUGAAAGAUGAGAAUGAACUCCAGUGUAAAUACAGAUAAAUAUGGCGACAGCUGUUGCUGAAUAGUUACAGAAUUAGCUUGAGAAAUGAAACCUCUGUAGUUCACACACAGGCACACACAUACACACACACACACUUUGGAUUUAUUUAUGAAACAGCAUCUUCUAAACACAGAACCUUGCAUUGCAGAAAAGGCAAUUAAAUAGAACAGCAUGAGGUUGUCAAUCACUUCAACAACUAACAAAAGCAUUGACUAUCAAAGCAAAUAAUGUUAAUGUGCAAAAAGGUACCUUGCUAUCAAAGCAAAUAAUGUAAACAUGCAAAGGCAAAGAAUUCUCUGUAUCAAAUGUCACCAUUUUAAUGUUCACCAUUUUUGUGACUGUUUUUGCAUAUGCAUGAUACUAUAUCAGUAAUUCUGAAAUUUGAUAUAGAAUUGGCCAUUAUCAUUUCUUAGAGGAUUUGGUCAUCCUGUGAUGCUUUUGUAAGAGGUGGGGACUUUCUUUUUCCUUCUUUUCUUUCUUUUUUGUGUUGUUGCUAGUGUUAUACAAAUAAAUGGACAGUCACAGCUUAUCAUCAUUUAAGAUGCAUGUGCAUGCUGCAGUUUACUGAAACAUGAUUGGUUGCUACAUAAAUCAAUCUGAUAGAGAUCGGUUCCAUGAAGAAGAGAUAAAUCAUUAGCCAGAGCUUUUAGAAUGUAAUUCAUUUUAGAUAGUGAUUAUUGAUGAUUUAAUUUUAGCAGUACAUGUACAAGUCUAGACCAUGAUUUUAUAUAAAAUGUUAACACAGAAGAAUGUAUUCAUCUUAAAAGUGAGUAUAAAGAAACCAAUUAGAAAUUUACAUGCAAAACAUGUUAAUGAAGUGGCAGAGUUGUGAAGUCCACAAAGUUCUAUUUAUUAAACAAGUUAGAAUGUUAGCAUAGUCCUCGGGAAAUUUUUAAGAAAUAUUUCCUUAAGACUCAGUGGUACAAAGAAGUGUCCUCAAACUUCAUUUGACUUACCACACUCAGAUGACUGAAGCUCAGGAAUAUUUUAGAUAUACAUCUUAUGCACCUUGGCCUCUAAAAACAAUAGUUCUUCAUGCCCUUAGACCCAGCACUUCUAUUCAUUUCAAUUGAACAGCAUUUAGUAGGAGUCCACCUGAGCCAAGAUCCUGUGCUUUGAGAUGCACUUUUUGUUUUCUGUCAUGUAGAUAAGCAGGAAAGAAGGUAUGUGUAUUCAAUGGUACUAACAUCAAUAACUCCAGGAGGCACUGGUAUGAGACUGGCCAAGUCAUACUGAGAGGUGAACUAGAUGGGCAGUGCCCAGGGCUGCUGUCUUUAAGGGUACUAGGACAUUAUUAGAAAAUUAACAGGAUGGAAGAAUUAUAUUUAUCAGAAAAAUUCCAAGGAACAUAAUAUAUGUACACUUUUGAGUGACAUACUUUGAAAAGCCACUCGGAGUGAGGAUGAACUGGUCAAAUAACAGUAGCUGGUCAACAACAUAUUUUCCCAGAAAUGUCUUCAGUUUACUGAGUGAGGUAUUUGAGUUCUAGGUCAGAGGUGAAAGCUGCUUCCAAUGGGACUCUUCUUUCUUAAUCUUUCCCUCAUGAAGUCCUGCUCUGAAUAAAUGGGAACAAAUAUUUUAACUAUACUGGUUUGCAGAGAAACCAAAUUAUUGCCCUGUCCGAGUGCCUACAUGUUUAAGUCCCUGCAGAUCAGGGGAGGUAAAAGCACAAUGACAGACUUCAGAGAAACGUUUUAUGUCAUGUCUCUCAUCUUUACCCCAGGCUAACUCAGAGUUAACCUUCCCGGGUUUUUCUAAUCAACCCCUAGUCUUUACAAAGAAAAUUCCAUUCCACCAAGAAGACAUAAUAUGUUAAAAAUCUGAGUUUCUGAUCACUUUUGCAGUUUUCUUUUCCAUCUCAUGACUCUCCGUACACAGUCACUCGCUUUUCCCCCAAAAGUGUUGCUAUCCUCAGUCUACACUGGCUAAGGCUAGAACUAGGGGACUCAUCAGCCUGCAGGCUCCAGUUCUUGCCUUAUCCCUUUAUACUUGCAGCUUUGAUAUUCGCAUAUUGCCUUUGAUUCUGAGUGAUCUCAAGAUGCCAGGACCUCUCCUUAAAUCACACUGGGUGCUUCAUUUUAGAUACGAACUUACCAGUGAAACAGGGUACCCAGGUGGUCACCAAAAUUUGUUUGAAAAUUAACUACUGGAAGAAAGGAACAUCCUGUCCUUUAAACUGCACAGCUUUUCCUCCCAUCUUGAUCAAAAUAAGAUAAAGCAAAUAUUUUAUUUUGAAUGAGAAAUUUUGAUAUAUUGGUGAGAUAAACUCCCAUAUAUGAUAAUACAAAUAAUCGUAUUCUUUGCAGAUCACAUCAUGUUUUCUUUCAAGAAAAUAAAGUUUCCCCCUGUGGAGGUCACAAAGAAUUUGAGGGUCUUAAUUCUAGAUGAGACAGAAGCAGGCUAGCCAGUAUAAUGUGAAGUAAGAAGGGUGUGUGUGUGUGUGUGUGUGUGUGUGUGUGUGUAUAAAGGAGAGAGACGUUUAGGAGGAAGCUUCUGGAGGUGUGCACACUUGGGGAAGUCAUAUAAAUCUAGUGUUUUAUUCUAUAUUUAUUUUCUUUCUUUUUUUUUCUUAUUAUUUCUUUCUUACAGUUAUCCCUAAGCCUUCAGCAAAAUUUUGUUAGAUAUUUGAACCUGCUAUUGACUGUGCUGUGGGGAAUAAUGAGACAGACUCAUGUCCACACUUAGCACAAAAUGGCAUGAAGGGAGCAGAAAUGGCUUGAGGGAAGUCAGACUCAGGCAGCCAGAGGGUGCCGGCGGAGGGUGUGACUGUAGACAGAGACAGAUGGCUGGGAGGGGUGAAAGCGACCACCAGCACAGGUUCUGAGACAUAUAAGCAGUCUCUGGAAUUCUCAGAGUUACUAGGGCACGAGAAAUUGCUAAAAGACUAAAGUCCCUGAGGGUGGGGGUCUCAGACUAUUGUUGUAUAGUCAUUAAAGGGAAGGGUGACCCCUGGAGGCGAGAGCAGCCUACAGCGCAAGCUGUCUUCAGUCACAAAUUCCUUCAAAAUGCAUUCCUUAGUAAAUAAUGAAAAUGCCCACCCCCUCCCCAAAUGCCAGCUAAGCAUUUUGAAAAUGCAUUAUUUUAUUAGACCAUCUUAUUGAAUUAAUGCACAGAUACAGCUAAAGGAAUAAAUGCAGACUUAGCAGUGUUUAGCCUCCCAGGCACCACCUGCUCCUUGAUUCUCCUGAGCUAGGGAUUCAAGAGCCCCACUCUUCCCGAAGACACUACAAAACAUUUGCAAUGGCACACUUAUACUCUCACCCCUCUCCAAGCCUGUCUACCACCAGAGAGUCUCAGUUUGUUAAUGCAGUACAUUUUCUGGAGUUAAUUUUUUUUUCCCCUUAUAGUCUAGUGAAUAAGCUUCUUAACAAGAUUGGAACAUAUUACAUACUUUGGCUUCCCCAUCAAGCCUAUUGCAGAGAAUUCUGGAUGCAGUGGUGAGACUUUCUGAACUGAAACUGCACAGCUAGGAAGUUAUAUUUUCAGCUUGAUCUCAAAGUUUGUAAACUGGUCUGUUCACAGGGAUGCAGAGGUGUCCACAGUAGCUCUAGUGAAUGUAGAGCUGUACCAGGCCUGGUAGAAUAUCUUUGAACCUUUGAAAAUGCAUUAGUCUUUCUCUACUAACAUUCUCAAUUUCACCAGCUCAGAAACAGAUUUUGUAUCUUAAGUAUAAGUUAUGAUCCCCAACUGUCUCGCAACUUAAGUUCUGAUCAAAAGUAGAUUUGUUCUACAGCCUGGCUACGGAAAAGGCCUGCUUCCUCUGUAUCCUCAUUCAAAACUUAAAAUAAAUAGUAUAAUGUCUGUG
rnacentral:lncRNA from 10 species